UACGGAGGGGGCAAGCGUUAUUCGGAAUUACUGGGCGUAAAGGGCUCGUAGGCGGCCAACUAAGUCGGAUGUGAAAUCCCCAGGCUCAACCUGGGAACUGCAUCCGAUACUGGAUGGCUUGAAUUCGGGAGAGGGAUGCAGAAUUCCAGGUGUAGCGGUGAAAUGCGUAGAUAUCUGGAGGAAUACCGGUGGCGAAGGCGGCAUCCUGGACCGACAUUGACGCUGAGGCGCGAAAGCCAGGGGAGCGAACGGG
rnacentral:rRNA from 1 species